rnacentral:rRNA from 1 species
AGACCCGAAACCCGGUGAUCUAGCCAUGGGCAGGUUGAAGGUUGGGUAACACUAACUGGAGGACCGAACCGACUAAUGUUGAAAAAUUAGCGGAUGACCUGUGGCUGGGGGUGAAAGGCCAAUCAAACCGGGAGAUAGCUGGUUCUCCCCGAAAGCUAUUUAGGUAGCGCCUCGUGAAUUCAUCUCCGGGGGUAGAGCACUGUUUCGGCUAGGGGGCCAUCCCGGCUUACCAACCCGAUGCAAACUGCGAAUACCGGAGAAUGUUAUCACGGGAGACACACGGCGGGUGCUAACGUCCGUCGUGAAGAGGGAAACAACCCAGACCGCCAGCUAAGGUCCCAAAGUCAUGGUUAAGUGGGAAACGAUGUGGGAAGGCCCAGACAGCCAGGAUGUUGGCUUAGAAGCAGCCAUCAUUUAAAGAAAGCGUAAUAGCUCACUGGUCGAGUCGGCCUGCGCGGAAGAUGUAACGGGGCUAAACCAUGCACCGAAGCUGCGGCAGCGACACUGUGUGUUGUUGGGUAGGGGAGCGUUCUGUAAGCCUGUGAAGGUGUGUCGUGAGGCAUGCUGGAGGUAUCAGAAGUGCGAAUGCUGACAUAAGUAACGAUAAAGCGGGUGAAAAGCCCGCUCGCCGGAAGACCAAGGGUUCCUGUCCAACGUUAAUCGGGGCAGGGUGAGUCGACCCCUAAGGCGAGGCCGAAAGGCGUAGUCGAUGGGAAACGGGUUAAUAUUCCCGUACUU